rnacentral:rRNA from 1 species
AGACGGAGGGCGCGAGCGUUGUUCGGAAUUACUGGGCGUAAAGCGCGCGCAGGCGGAUGUGGCAAGUCGGAAGUGAAAUCCCGGGGCUCAACCCCGUGACUGCUUCCGAUACUGCUCGUCUAGGGACCGGUAGAGGCUGGUGGAAUUCCCGGUGUAGCGGUGGAAUGCGUAGAGAUCGGGAAGAACACCUGUGGCGAAGGCGGCCAGCUGGGCCGGAUCCGACGCUGAGGCGCGAAAGCGUGGGGAGCAAACAGGAUUAGAUACCCUGGUAGUCCACGCCGUAAACGAUGGGUGCUAGAUGGCGGGGGGAGCGACCCCUUCGCUGUCGUAGCUAACGCGUUAAGCACCCCGCCUGGGGAGUACGGCCGCAAGGCUGAA